UUCAUUUUUCUUCUCCUCCUCCAGCUUCUGUAUUUCAGUUUUAUAGUGAAAUGUUCACUGGAUAUGUGAGGACUACAUAAAGAAAAAAGACUCAGAAAUCAAAGGCAAGUCACCUAACACAACUUUCGUGAGGUCUAUUCAGGAAAGCAGGCUCCAUCAAAAGCCCAGCAUUAAAUGAAUCAGCACUGCUCUGUCACUGGGUUUUGACUGCCUACUGAGUGCAAUGAGUGUUUCCCUGAGCGGCAAACAUUGAAGGAUUUCGUCUGGACAAACACUGGUCUUAAAGUUUUCACCUCUAAGAGCAUCAGGCAUAUUGCCUUGAAUAAAGUAUGAUUACGACACCAAAAUCUACAAAAUGUGAAGGAGUAAAGGAAGACGGUCAGGUCAACCCUAGGAACAUAUUUUGAGUGUCU
rnacentral:lncRNA from 1 species